UGGCAGUCACAAUUCCCUCCUGCACAUCAUGUUGAAAUGUUCUCAUACAGAAGGAUCAUAUUAAAUUCGAAAAUAAUACAAUUUGCAAACACUCCUUAUUGAGUUUUAUGGAGAAGGAGUAAUUGCUGGACUCCUAUGUGACCUGUUACAUUAUGUUGCCUAGCUACAUAGUAGAGGCACUAAGAAACCCCAUUAUUGAAUUGCAGAGAUGAGCACUGGGCACUUUGCUGGCUCUGCUAUGUAGUAACAUAACAGCAACCCUCUACGUGAUGUGGACAUUGCGCAACUGCACAAUCUUAAUUCCCGCAGAUGUAAUUUCAUUUACAAUGACAUCAGGCCCCAACAGGAUUCUGGCAAAUGCCUCUCCCAUACUAAUAUGAAGGAGCAAUGCAAUGCAAGCAUGUACUAAAUUUGCGAGACUUCCCUAAGGUGGCAAGGUUUCUGCUGUUUCACAUUUCCACAAAGCUCCAAUCUUUCACUCUAAAGAAGGUUCUGGACUGGAGCUACAAUGAUUAAUGCUUAGCUUUGAACUUUGGUUGCCAGGUGUCAGGAACGCCUGUGAUUAACAAGGCUCAAGCUGAAGAAAAACAGAAUGCCCAAACCUCCAUCCUUGUAGCAUGUGCACUAGUUUGUAAGAAAGGGGGAAUGAUGAGAUGCAGAGCAUUUGCAUUUUUAAACUGCAGAAUUCCUAUCUUAGUUCUCUGCAUGUGGCCCUGAGGCUCUGCAUCAACACAUUUAGAUAGACUUUUCAAUAAAGGGAACAAGACAGAAACACAAGCACUCACUGAGUUGCCUUGAAUACUCAAUACCCUCUGACCCUGCUCUUAUAGAGUACCAUAGCAACAACUGCAAAUAGAACAUCAGAACAGCAAAUGCAAGAUUACCAGGAGGAAGUAGUCCAAAUGGCCUCCUCUAACUCUCCAAGACAAAAGCCAGCUGUUGUGCAGUCAUCAGAUGCAAGAUUUGCAGGCUGUCACAGUGCAUUUGAUAGAAAGGUCCCCCGGGUGAUUCUAUCCUGUUUCCAUAAGUCAGUCCUUAUCUAAAAAUUGCAAAGACAAGUGUAGACCUGGAUAACAUUCGGAGGAUUUAAUUGCCAGGAGUCAAACAUCUCUUGAAACCGACUAAGUGCGUCCUGCAGAAAGAAGGGCCUUAGUCCAGAGUGAAUGGCCUGAUCCUAACUGUUCCUUUACUGCAACUGGGGACCUGAUCUAAGAGAGAAAGUUGUUGAGAACCUGAUUCAUCUAAUGACUGCUGGAUUUGUAUCGUUAAAUUGGAUGCUGGUGUAAGAAAAGUGGAAUGAGUCAAAGACAAACAAAAUAAAUCAUAAACCAUGAA